rnacentral:rRNA from 1 species
CUACGGGAUGCAGCAGUGAGGAAUUUUGCGCAAUGGGGGGAACCCUGACGCAGCAACGCCGCGUGAGUGAUGAAGGCUUUCGGGUCGUAAAGCUCUGUCAAGUGGGAAGAACCUAUGCAGUGUUAAUAUCACUGUAUACUGACGGUACCACUGAAGGAAGCACCGGCUAACUCCGUGCCAGCAGCCGCGGUAAUACGGGGGGUGCAAGCGUUAUUCGGAAUCAUUGGGCGUAAAGGGCACGUAGGCGGCUUGGUAAGUCAGAUGUGAAAGCCCGGGGCUUAACCCCGGAAGUGCAUUUGAUACUGUCAGGCUUGAGUAUGGGAGAGGGAAGUGGAAUUCCUGGUGUAGAGGUGAAAUUCGUAGAUAUCAGGAGGAACACCGGUGGCGAAGGCGACUUCCUGGACCAAUACUGACGCUGAGGUGCGAAGGCGUGGGUAGCGAACAGGAUUAGAUACCCCAGUAGUC